rnacentral:rRNA from 1 species
UGCCGGAAUCCGACGCUCUCCCCAAGGACACAAGCCAUGCAUGCCCCCGCGCACCCGGGAGGCGGCGGACGGCUCAGGACAACGGUUGCACCCCCCGCGGCGGUCCCUGCUAGCCGGACACCGCUGGCAACCCGGCGCCAAGACGUGCGCGCAAGGGCGGGCGCCCGCGGGCGAGCAGCGUGACGCAGCGACGGCCCGCCCGGGCUUCCGGGGCAUCACCCG